CCUACGGGAGGCAGCAGUGAGGAAUAUUGGUCAAUGGGCUUACGCCUGAACCAGCCAAGUCGCGUGAGGGAAGACUGUCCUAUGGAUUGUAAACCUCUUUUGUCAGGGAGCAACGCCGGCUACGCGUAGCCGGACUGAGAGUACCUGAAGAAAAAGCAUCGGCUAACUCCGUGCCAGCAGCCGCGGUAAUACGGAGGAUGCGAGCGUUAUCCGGAUUUAUUGGGUUUAAAGGGUGCGUAGGCGGAAUGUCAAGUCAGCGGUAAAAUCGCGGGGCUCAACCUCGCCCCGCCGUUGAAACUGGCGGUCUUGAGUGGGCGAGAAGUAUGCGGAAUGCGUGGUGUAGCGGUGAAAUGCAUAGAUAUCACGCAGAACUCCGAUUGCGAAGGCAGCAUACCGGCGCCCAACUGACGCUGAAGCACGAAAGCGUGGGUAUCGAACAGGAUUAGAUACCCUUGUAGUC
rnacentral:rRNA from 1 species